AUUGAACGCUGGCGGCAUGCCUUACACAUGCAAGUCGAACGGCAGCACGGAGCUUGCUCUGGUGGCGAGUGGCGAACGGGUGAGUAAUAUAUCGGAACGUACCCUGGAGUGGGGGAUAACGUAGCGAAAGUUACGCUAAUACCGCAUACGAUCUACGGAUGAAAGUGGGGGAUCGCAAGACCUCAUGCUCGUGGAGCGGCCGAUAUCUGAUUAGCUAGUUGGUAGGGUAAAAGCCUACCAAGGCAUCGAUCAGUAGCUGGUCUGAGAGGACGACCAGCCACACUGGAACUGAGACACGGUCCAGACUCCUACGGGAGGCAGCAGUGGGGAAUUUUGGACAAUGGGCGAAAGCCUGAUCCAGCAAUGCCGCGUGAGUGAAGAAGGCCUUCGGGUUGUAAAGCUCUUUUGUCAGGGAAGAAACGGUGAGAGCUAAUAUCUCUUGCUAAUGACGGUACCUGAAGAAUAAGCACCGGCUAACUACGUGCCAGCAGCCGCGGUAAUACGUAGGGUGCAAGCGUUAAUCGGAAUUACUGGGCGUAAAGCGUGCGCAGGCGGUUUUGUAAGUCUGAUGUGAAAUCCCCGGGCUCAACCUGGGAAUUGCAUUGGAGACUGCAAGGCUAGAAUCUGGCAGAGGGGGGUAGAAUUCCACGUGUAGCAGUGAAAUGCGUAGAUAUGUGGAGGAACACCGAUGGCGAAGGCAGCCCCCUGGGUCAAGAUUGACGCUCAUGCACGAAAGCGUGGGGAGCAAACAGGAUUAGAUACCCUGGUAGUCCACGCCCUAAACGAUGUCUACUAGUUGUCGGGUCUUAAUUGACUUGGUAACGCAGCUAACGCGUGAAGUAGACCGCCUGGGGAGUACGGUCGCAAGAUUAAAACUCAAAGGAAUUGACGGGGACCCGCACAAGCGGUGGAUGAUGUGGAUUAAUUCGAUGCAACGCGAAAAACCUUACCUACCCUUGACAUGGCUGGAAUCCCCGAGAGAUUGGGGAGUGCUCGAAAGAGAACCAGUACACAGGUGCUGCAUGGCUGUCGUCAGCUCGUGUCGUGAGAUGUUGGGUUAAGUCCCGCAACGAGCGCAACCCUUGUCAUUAGUUGCUACGAAAGGGCACUCUAAUGAGACUGCCGGUGACAAACCGGAGGAAGGUGGGGAUGACGUCAAGUCCUCAUGGCCCUUAUGGGUAGGGCUUCACACGUCAUACAAUGGUACAUACAGAGCGCCGCCAACCCGCGAGGGGGAGCUAAUCGCAGAAAGUGUAUCGUAGUCCGGAUUGUAGUCUGCAACUCGACUGCAUGAAGUUGGAAUCGCUAGUAAUCGCGGAUCAGCAUGUCGCGGUGAAUACGUUCCCGGGUCU
rnacentral:rRNA from 1 species